CCUACGGGAGGCAGCAGUAAGGAAUAUUGGUCAAUGGACGAAAGUCUGAACCAGCCAUGCCGCGUGAAGGAUUAAGGCCCUCUGGGUUGUAAACUUCUUUUAUCUGGGACGAAAAAAGGGUAUUCUUACUCACUUGACGGUACCAGAGGAAUAAGCACCGGCUAACUCCGUGCCAGCAGCCGCGGUAAUACGGAGGGUGCAAGCGUUAUCCGGAUUUACUGGGUUUAAAGGGUGCGUAGGUGGGCUUGUAAGUCAGUGGUGAAAUCUCCGGGCUUAACCCGGAAACUGCCAUUGAUACUAUAGGUCUUGAAUUAUCUGGAGGUAAGCGGAAUAUGUCAUGUAGCGGUGAAAUGCUUAGAUAUGACAUAGAACACCAAUUGCGAAGGCAGCUUACUACGGAUAUAUUGACACUGAGGCACGAAAGCGUGGGGAUCAAACAGGAUUAGAUACCCUGGUAGUCCACGCCCUAAACGAUGGAUACUCGACAUCAGCGAUACACUGUUGGUGUCUGAGCGAAAGCAUUAAGUAUCCCACCUGGGAAGUACGAUCGCAAGAUUGAAACUCAAAGGAAUUGACGG
rnacentral:rRNA from 1 species